rnacentral:rRNA from 1 species
AUGCAUAGGAAUCUACCUAGUAGUAUGGGAUAGCCACUAGAAAUGGUGGGUAAUACUGUAUAAUCCCUGCGGGGGAAAGAUUUAUCGCUAUUAGAUGAGCCUAUGUUAGAUUAGCUAGUUGGUAGGGUAAAGGCCUACCAAGGCAGUGAUCUAUAGCUGGUCUGAGAGGAUGAUCAGCCACACUGGAACUGAGAUACGGUCCAGACUCCUACGGGAGGCAGCAGUGGGGAAUAUUGGACAAUGGGCGCAAGCCUGAUCCAGCUAUGCCGCGUGAGUGAGGAAGGCCUUAGGGUUGUAAAACUCUUUCAGUGGGGAAGAUAAUGACGGUACCCACAGAAGAAGUCCCGGCAAACUCCGUGCCAGCAGCCGCGGUAAUACGGAGGGGGCAAGCGUUGUUCGGAAUUAUUGGGCGUAAAGGGCAUGUAGGCGGUUUCGGUAAGUU